CAACCUACCUAUCAGAGGGGAAUAACCCGGCGUAAGUCGGACUAAUACCGCAUAAAACAGGGGCACCGCAUGGUGAUAUUUGUUAAAGAAAUUCGCUGAUAGAUGGGCAUGCGUUCCAUUAGGUAGUUGGUGAGGUAACGGCUCACCAAGCCGACGAUGGAUAGGGGAACUGAGAGGUUGGUCCCCCACACUGGUACUGAGACACGGACCAGACUCCUACGGGAGGCAGCAGUGAGGAAUAUUGGUCAAUGGGCGGGAGCCUGAACCAGCCAAGUCGCGUGAAGGAAGAAGGAUCUAUGGUUCGUAAACUUCUUUUGCAGGGGAAUAAAGUGCAGGACGUGUCCUGUUUCGUAUGUACCCUGAGAAUAAGGAUCGGCUAACUCCGUGCCAGCAGCCGCGGUAAUACGGAGGAUCCGAGCGUUAUCCGGAUUUAUUGGGUUUAAAGGGUGCGUAGGUGGUUUGAUAAGUCAGCGGUGAAAGUUUGCAGCUUAACUGUAAAAAUGCCGUUGAAACUGUCGGACUUGAGUGUAAAUGAGGUAGGCGGAAUGCGUGGUGUAGCGGUGAAAUGCAUAGAUAUCACGAAGAACUCCGAUUG
rnacentral:rRNA from 1 species